rnacentral:rRNA from 1 species
AUGCGUGAUCAGGUCGGCAUCGACCUGGACGGCUUCCCACUCGACCAUGAGUUCCCGGACGACUACGGGCUAAAGGAAGAGGACGAGUGCGACAUUGAAGUGGAGCCCUUGUUCGAGGACGAGCUCGCCAACCAAACCGCUGGUCCUAAGCUGAAGCGCAAGAGCAAGCACACGAAGGCAUACACGGCGGCCGAGGACAAGCUUCUUCAUGAGUGUUGGCGAGACAUUGGACAAGACCCCAAGACCGGCGCCGAACAAAAGCAUUCAACCUUUUGGAUUCAUGUCUAGCGGGAGUUUCAUGAGCGCAAGAAGUUUCCGCCUUACCAAAUUGUGGGCACGCGCGGGUGGGUGUUCAUUUCCAAGCAAUGGAGGGUGAUCCAACAAGAGUGCAACAAGUUUUGCGCCACUCUUGAGAGCAUCAAGGCCCGCCCCGUGAGCGGCAUCGGCAUGCAAGACAUGGUAUGCUAG